GAUGAACGCUGACAGAAUGCUUAACACAUGCAAGUCAACUUGAACUUCGGUUUGGGUGGCGGACGGGUGAGUAACGCGUAAAGAACUUGCCUCACAGAUAGGGACAACAUUUGGAAACGAAUGCUAAUACCUGAUAUUAUGAUUAUAUGGCAUCGUAUAAUUAUGAAAGCUAUAUGCGCUGUGAGAGAGCUUUGCGUCCCAUUAGCUAGUUGGAGAGGUAACGGCUCACCAAGGCGAUGAUGGGUAGCCGGCCUGAGAGGGUGAUCGGCCACAAGGGGACUGAGACACGGCCCUUACUCCUACGGGAGGCAGCAGUGGGGAAUAUUGGGCAAUGGACCAAGAGUCUGAUCCAGCAAUUCUGUGUGCACGAUGAAGUUUUUCGGAAUGUAAAGUGCUUUCAGUUAGGAAGAAAAAAAUGACGGUACCAACAGAAGAAGUGACGGCUAAAUACGUG
rnacentral:rRNA from 1 species